CAUUAGAUGGCUGAAUUAAAAGCUUUGAUCUCUUAAAUCAAAUUAUAGUAUAUUUAAAAUUACUUCUAAUGA
rnacentral:tRNA from 1 species